rnacentral:lncRNA from 1 species
GUUACUUAACAUGUUGAGAGGCUGCCACAUGUCACUAUCAGAUUGGCUAUUAAUACCACGUCAGCACAAACUAAUAGUGUUAGUGCGGAGGUAUCAACUAGGUCUAGAAAAAAGUAGGCAAAAUAUAUAUUAACCCAAUUUUAUUCAUUCUCUAGUAUUUGGCAUUUAAAUAUAUUUUAUUUUAAUUAUAAAUAUUUAGACUUGUUAAAUAUAGAAGGGCAUUUGAUAGGUUAGAAUAUUUGUGUGGUCAUUUAAAUUUUUUAAAUCAUAUAAUUAUUCUAAUAUAGUUGUGUAUGUCCAAAUAUACAACUUAUUGUUGUUCAGACCCAUUUUGACCUAACCCAUUACAACCCAUAACCCAAACAAAAACAAAACCUACCCAGGCCCAACUAAGCCUAACCCACCAAAACCAAAGCCCAAAUCAGCAACCCAAUUCAGCCCAAUCUACCUAACCCUAGCCAAUUUGCAGAAAAAAAAAACAGCAGCCACCCUAGGUGCGCCGCACCUAGGGCCUUCGUCCACCUACCCCCUGCCACCGCCUCUGACCAGCGCUGCACCUGCUUUCUGCCAUUGCCCAACUGCACCUUCAAGAAGAGAAACCAACACGCAACAACAAACAGUAGACAUAGAUAAAAAAAAUGUUAAAAAUCGACUAUAAAAGCCGAAACCAAAGGAAUGUAAGGGGGUCGGCCCCUCUUUGACGAUUAAAAGAAAUAAAAGUGUUUUGAAAAUCUUAAAGGUGACUACUACCCUUUUUAGAUCUGUUUUUUUGUUCUUUUAAAUAUCAUUUUUGUUUUUAAAUACAAACAAAUUAAAAAUAAGAAUAAAGGAGAAGGCUUUUUACCUUACCUGCGCCGCGCCGGAGGUGGAGGAAGGCGAACGGUUUCGCCCUUUUUUCGGGUCUUCGGCCCUUGUUUCACGAGAUCCGGCCCCAGAUCCGUGCCUAGGAGACACUCGGCUUCGAACUAGGAUAAAAAAGAUCCGAUUUUGAGCCGUUGGCCACCGCACACGGCGGUGCUACGCCGGAGGCCGAGCCGGACGUUAGGCCAGAUUUGAGAGAGGGGAGGGAGCCUUCUCUGUUUGUUUUAAAAAAAAAGAAAAGGAAAAAAAUGAAAAAAGAAAAAGAAAAAA